AGCGAACGCUGGCGGCAGGCCUAACACAUGCAAGUCGAACGAACCUUUCGGGGUUAGUGGCGGACGGGUGAGUAACACGUGGGGACGUGCCUUUAGGUUCGGAAUAACUCAGGGAAACUUGUGCUAAUACCGAAUGUGCCCUUCGGGGGAAAGAUUAAUCGCCUUUAGAGCGGCCCGCGUCUGAUUAGCUAGUUGGUUGAGGUAAUGGCUCACCAAGGCGACGAUCAGUAGCUGGUCUGAGAGGAUGAUCAGCCACAUUGGGACUGAGGCACGGCCCAAACUCCUACGGGAGGCAGCAGUGGGGAAUCUUGCGCAAUGGGCGAAAGCCUGACGCAGCCAUGCCGCGUGAAUGAUGAAGGUCUUAGGAUUGUAAAAUUCUUUCACCGGGGACGAUAAUGACGGUACCCGGAGAAGAAGCCCCGGCUAACUUCGUG
rnacentral:rRNA from 1 species